rnacentral:rRNA from 1 species
GAGUUUGAUCAUGGCUCAGGACGAACGCUGGCGGCGUGCCUCAUACAUGCAAGUCGAGCGAGGGUAGCAAUACCCUAGCGGCGGACGGGUGAAAAAAAAGUGGGCAACCUGCCUCAGAGACAGGGAUAACACUCCGAAAGGAGUGCUAAUACCUGGUAAGCUCACAAGGCCACAUGGUCUGGUGAGAAAAGGAGCAAUCCGCUUUGAGAUGGGCCCGCGUCCCAUUAGCUAGUUGGUAGGGUAACGGCCUACCAAGGCGACGAUGGGUAGCCGACCUGAGAGGGUGAUCGGCCACACUGGAACUGAGAGACGGUCCAGACUCCUACGGGAGGCAGCAGUAGGGAAUCUUCCGCAAUGGGCGAAAGCCUGACGGAGCAACGCCGCGUGAGUGAUGAAGGCGUUCGGGUCGUAAAGCUCUGUCUUCAGUGACGAAUGAGACGGUAACUGAGGAGGAAGCCACGGCAAACUACGUGCCAGCAGCCGCGGUACAAGGGCG